rnacentral:lncRNA from 1 species
UUCGGGAGGUAGUGGUGGUGGUACUGCUGCUAAAGAUGCCCUUGGAAACGACAUCGUUGUAGCAGAAUGGCUAAAAACCCAUGGACCCGGUGACCGAACCCUAUCUCAAGGUCUAAAGGUACUACUAGCUAUUUCUUUUACUUUAAUAAACAUAUAUAACGAGGGUAUUUACGUCUUUUGCACCUACCAUAGUCCUCGUUCCAUUUUUUAAGGUUGGACAAAAAAUUGUAAUUUUUGUCUAAUUCACACAAGAUCCAAUCCAAUUCAAGUAACAUGUUAGAAGCUUCCGAUUCGGUCUUAUAGCCUCAGAUAUGACUCUUAGGUCAAUCAGAUCUAACUCAAUCAACAACUAUCAAACAGUAUUUAUACAACUGUCGAAAAUGAAAUGAUUUUGAGUGUAUGUGAAAUUAUAGGGAGACCCGACGUACCUUGUGGUGGAGAAUGAUAGAACCCUAGCCACAUACGGAAUCAACGCGGUGUGCACACAUCUCGGGUGUGUCGUGCCAUGGAACAAAGCAGAGAACAAGUUCAUGUGCCCGUGCCAUGGUUCCCAAUACAAUAACCAAGGCAAAGUUGUUAGGGGUCCGGCUCCUUUGGUAAGACAAUCCGUUGCACUCUUCUUUUCGUAUGAAAUACAAUGCAUAAUGUACAAGUGUUGAUGCAUGAGGUACAAUUUUUAUGGCACAAAGCACAACUUUUGAUGCAAGUAAAAGUUGUCUUGCACAAAGUACAACUUGUUGUGCAUAGUGUACAAGUUUUUGAUCAACUAAGCACAAGUUUUUAUGCAUAAUGCACAACUUGCAAUGCAUAGUAUAUAAUUAGGGGUGAUCGAUAUAUACACGUUUUAGUAGAAAGUAGCGAUGAGUAAUGUAUAAAUUUUGAUGCAAAUGGUACAAGUUGUUGAUGCAAUAAUUUGUUGAUUUGUGAACAGUCAUUGGCACUUGCUCAUGCGGAUGUUGAUGAUGGGAAAGUGAUAUUUGUUCCAUGGACCGAGACAGAUUUCAGAACCGGUGAGGCUCCAUGGUGGUCAUAAGCGUCUCAAUGCCUCCCUUUUGAGAUUCUUGGUUUGUUUUGAUUCGAGAAUUAAAAUAUGUACACACAACUUAAGGUUUUAAAUAUUGUACCCAAAAAGUUUAUAAAUUUGUAAAAUGGUUAUUAAUAAUUAUUUU